UGCCCCGUGGUGUAAUGGUAACACUUCUGUUUUUGGUACAGAUAUUCCAGGUUCGAGUCCUGGCGGGGUAGC
rnacentral:tRNA from 1 species